rnacentral:rRNA from 1 species
AGAGUUCGAUUAUGGCUCAGGAUGAACGCUAGCUACAGGCUUAACACAUGCAAGUCGAGGGGCAGCAUAGUCUUAGCUUGCUAAGACUGAUGGCGACCGGCGCACGGGUGAGUAACACGUAUCCAACCUGCCGUCUACUCUUGGACAGCCUUCUGAAAGGAAGAUUAAUACAAGAUGGCAUCAUGAGUCCGCAUGUUCACAUGAUUAAAGGUAUUCCGGUAGACGAUGGGGAUGCGUUCCAUUAGAUAGUAGGCGGGGUAACGGCCCACCUAGUCUUCGAUGGAUAGGGGUUCUGAGAGGAAGGUCCCCCACAUUGGAACUGAGACACGGUCCAA